UCCAACUCUUGUUUGUCAGACUCACUUUGGGUUGAUAUACAUCUACUGAAUACUCUGAGGGCAACUGCCAACUGAGUGGCGAACGACUGGAGCACUCUUGCUGCUCGUUCGCAUUCCGCCUUUCACUACUGAGGCGCAGCGAACCAUUUGCUACACUUCCGCUUCUCGUUGGCCUGCGAAGCUGCUCGACGCCUCGGUCGUACGAACCACCGAGGCUUCUCAAGCCUCGUGUGCCUCCUUAGCAGCGAUACUUCAUAAAGCAGCUUUUGGACAAGUCAACAGAGCCAGGAACGGGUCAUCCUUCAAGUACCUGUACCUCCACGGGCUUCUCUACAAGAAGUGCCUCACCUCCCAGCUUUCCAACAAGAACCACUUCCCCGAGUCGCCAUCGACCUCGUUGAACCCUUGUCUCCACCAGCUACGAAAGGACCUCUUGUCAUCCCCGUUCCCGUAGUGGAUGAGCCAUCACCUGGCGCCAGCUCCACUGAACUUCCCAUCGUUGAACCACUUAUGGACUACCAGGAUGUACCCUCCACCCCGUCUAGCUGUACGUCAACGAUUCAGCAGGACAUCGUCCGGGUGUUGAGAUGGGCCUUGAGUCUACCGGUCUACAGGUACCGGGUCGUCCAUAUGGCAGAGAAGGAUAAUGUGGGGCCAGAUUUAUUGAGUAGACUUCCUGCAUAAGUCACUCCUCCUGUGUCUCCUCGCCAGUUUCCCCCCUGUUUUAGUUUAUUGGUUUAUAUUCUUUUUCUUUUCCAUUUGGUAGUUGUUUGUUGGAUCUACCUGGAGUAGAUUCUUGUAUGGGGGCCUGUGUGAGGGCAACCACCAACUGAGUGGCGAACGACCGGAGCACUCUUGCUGCUCGUUCGCAUUCCGCCGUUCAACUUCGGAGGCGCAGCGAACCACUUAAUACACUCCCGCUUCUCGUUGGCUUACGAAGCUGUUCGACGCCUCGGUCGUACGAACCACCGAUGCUUCUCAACCCGCUGUGGGCCGCCAGCGUCUUCAUCUUCAGACAGCAGCUGGACCUCGCCCUGAACAUUUGAUUCGGCUCCUGCCAGCUCUGCUCUCAUGCGGGUUUACUCAGAACCGUGGGCUUGUUCUGGGUGCCUCACCUCGCUCCUCUGCCCGCUCGAACUCCUGUUACUUCCGUGACCCUGACGCCCCUUCUCCUCCUGCGCCUCCCUCGUCUACCACGUCUACACCACGUCAAGGACGAAGUUUUGCUACCUCGUCACUGCCACUCUGAGGACGGGACGCCAGAAGAGGAAGAAGCCGUGCAAGGAUCAUUGCUGAGUCCGGCGUGCUGCAGCCUUCAUGUUGGAGACUUCAGUGUUUGAGGCUGUUGUGGGUUUCUUUACUUUAAUUAAAGUAAAUUGGUGUCUAACCA